UCAUUUUCACUGCUUUAGUAGGCUAUUAUAGGUCAGUGAGCAGCUUUUGAAAACGGGUGUUUAUGUUGUGGAGAGAGUGGCGAGGGAGGGAACCUCGUCACACAUACAUGCUCACACUCUUUUCUUCUUCU
ensembl:ncRNA C02C6.5 ncRNA